AUCCAGCUGACGAGCCCCAAAUAGGACGAAACAUGGAUCCUAGAU
rfam:Schistosoma mansoni strain Puerto Rico chromosome 3, complete genome